AGAGUUUGAUCCUGGCUCAGGAUGAACUCUUGCGGCGUGCCUAACACAUGCAAGUCGAGCGAUUCUCUUCGGAGAAGAGCGGCGGACGGGUGAGUAACGCGUGGGUAACCUGCCCUGUACACACGGAUAUCAUACCGAAAGGUAUGCUAAUACGAGAUAACAUAAGAAAUUCGCAUGUUUUUCUUAUCAAAGCUCCGGCGGUACAGGAUGGACCCGCGUCUGAUUAGCUAGUUGGUGAGGUAAUGGCUCACCAAGGCGACGAUCAGUAGCCGACCUGAGAGGGUGAUCGGCCACAUUGGAACUGGGACACGGUCCAAACUCCUACGGGAGGCAGCAGUGGGGAAUAUUGCACAAUGGGCGAAAGCCUGAUGCAGCAACGCCGCGUGAGCGAUGAAGGCCUUCGGGUCGUAAAGCUCUGUCCUCAAGGAAGAUAAUGACGGUACUUGAGGAGGAAGCCCCGGCUAACUACGUGCCAGCAGCCGCGGUAAUACGUAGGGGGCUAGCGUUAUCCGGAUUUACUGGGCGUAAAGGGUGCGUAGGCGGUCUUUUAAGUCAGGAGUGAAAGGCUACGGCUCAACCGUAGUAAGCUCUUGAAACUGGAGGACUUGAGUGCAGGAGAGGAGAGUGGAAUUCCUAGUGUAGCGGUGAAAUGCGUAGAUAUUAGGAGGAACACCAGUAGCGAAGGCGGCUCUCUGGACUGUAACUGACGCUGAGGCACGAAAGCGUGGGGAGCAAACAGGAUUAGAUACCCUGGUAGUCCACGCCGUAAACGAUGAGUACUAGCUGUCGGAGGUUACCCCCUUCGGUGGCGCAGCUAACGCAUUAAGUACUCCGCCUGGGGAGUACGCUCGCAAGAGUGAAACUCAAAGGAAUUGACGGGGACCCGCACAAGUAGCGGAGCAUGUGGUUUAAUUCGAAGCAACGCGAAGAACCUUACCUGAUCUUGACAUCCCGAUGACCGCUUCGUAAUGGAAGCUUUUCUUCGGAACAUCGGUGACAGGUGGUGCAUGGUUGUCGUCAGCUCGUGUCGUGAGAUGUUGGGUUAAGUCCCGCAACGAGCGCAACCCUUAUCUUCAGUAGCCAGCAUUUAGGAUGGGCACUCUGGAGAGACUGCCAGGGAUAACCUGGAGGAAGGUGGGGAUGACGUCAAAUCAUCAUGCCCCUUAUGACCAGGGCUACACACGUGCUACAAUGGCGUAAACAAAGGGAAGCAGAGCCGCGAGGCCGAGCAAAUCUCAAAAAUAACGUCUCAGUUCGGAUUGUAGUCUGCAACUCGACUACAUGAAGCUGGAAUCGCUAGUAAUCGCAGAUCAGAAUGCUGCGGUGAAUACGUUCCCGGGUCUUGCACACACCGCCCGUCA
rnacentral:rRNA from 1 species